GCCAUCAGAUUUAAUACAUCAUCUCUUGUCAUAUAUUAACUCCCUAAAAUAUAGUCAUAGUCUACAGGUUGCUUAUCUGCUGGUGUUUUCUUAUGAUUGCAGAAAAAUUAACACUUGUGGGUGUGGUAAUUAACAUUAGGGAAAUAUAAAAUGGUGUUGGAGGAGAUCAGGGUAGGAAAUGAUUGUAUUUAAUGGAGCAACUGAAAAGUCUUUGUGGGAAAAAUGGAGACUUCAUCUCAAAAAAAGAAAAAAAAAUCAGAGUUUAGUCCUCACAGACCACUAAAACUUCUUUCAUAUCAGCAAGAAGGCUGUUUUACUUUCUUACCAUGUAUAUUCAUUGGAAUAGCGCUUUUAAUUUCCUUCAAGAACUUUACCUUUGCAUUUACAACUUGGCUGUUUGGCACAAAAGGCCAACCUUUGGGCCUACUGUGGCUUUAGAAAUGCCUUCCUCACUAAGAUUAAUUAUUUCUAGCUUUUGAUUUAAAGUGAGAGACCUGCAACUUUUCUUUUCACUUGAGAACUUAGAGACCAUUGUAGAGUUAUUAAUUGGCUUAAUUUAAAUAUUUUUAUGACUCAGGGAACAGGGAGGUCCAAAAGAGAAGGAGAAAUGGGGGAGCAGCCUGUUGGUGGAGCAGUCAGAACACACACAACAUUUAUUACAUUUACCAUGUUGCUUGGGCAUGGUUUGUAUCACCCCAAACCAAUUAUUAUAGUAACUUCAAAAAUCAUUGAUCACAGAGCACCAUAAAGGACAUAAAACAAUGAAAAAGUUUAAAAUUUUGCAAGAAUUAGCAAAAUGUGAUGCAGAGACACAAAGUGAACAUAUGCUGUUGUAAAAAUGGUGCCGAUAGACUUUCUUGAUGCAAGGUUGGCACAAACCCUUAAUUUGUUAAAAAAAAAAAAGAAAACAAGAAACUAUUAUUGAAAGUGCAGUAAAGUGAAGCACAAUAAAAGGAGAUGCUCCUGUACUUCCUUUCAUGGAAGGUGGCCAGAUAAAAUACAGGAAAUCCACUUAAUUUGAAUUUUAUGUAAUAAAUGGGUAACUUUUUAGGAUAAAUAUAUCUCAAAUAUUGUGUGAGAAAUAUUCAGAGGAAAAAAGUAUUCAUUAUUUAUCUGAAAUUUAAACUCAACUGGGUGUCCUGUAUAUUUAUUUGCUAAAUCUGACAACCCUACUUUCAUGUCUACCAUGUUUACCGGAUUAAAAUAAUCUUUGUUCUUGGCUGGGCAUGUUGGAUCACACCUGUAAUCCUAACAUUUUGGGAGGCUGAGGCAGGUGGAUCACUUGAGGUCAGGAGUUGGAGACCAGCCCGGCCAACAUGGUGAAACCUCUUCUCUACUAAAAAUACACAAAAUUAUCUUGAUGGAGUGGUGCCUGUCUGUAAUCCCAGCUACUGGGGAGGCUGAGGCAGGAGAAUCGCUUGAGCAAUUGAGGUUGCAGUAAGUGGAGAUCACGCCACUGCCUUCCAGCCUGGGCAAAAGGGUGAGACUACGUCUCAACCAAAAAAAAAAAAAAAAAAAAAAAAUUCUUUGUUCUCUUGUUCUCUAUAUGUACCUCAUGAUUUUCAGCUGUUCUGAUUUGGCCAGAAUUACCCCCUAACUACCUAGAUGCUAUAAAUAAAAGUAUAGGGCAUAGUGCAUCAACACCCCUUUUGCAAAGUUGACGUGAUGUAGAGAAAAGGAUAUAGAUGAGAGAGCAGGAGAUAUACUUUGAUUAUCAUCAUGACUUCAACUUGGCCAGCUCGGUGACUUUAGAACAAAUGACUUAAUUUAUCUAGCCUUCAGUUUCUUCAUCUACACGGUGAGGAUAAUGACACCAACUUCACAUGAUUGUUUUUAGAAUUAAGCAUGAAACUUUAAAAAAUCUUUAUAAAAACAUAUAGCUCAUUGAAGCACUUCAAUAAAUGACAGCACGUUAUUGAUUUUAUCCUCAUAUCAGCGCUUCUCAAACUUGAGAACCCUCAACGUACCCACCCCCAAAACGUAUCUGUGGAUUCCAAUGUAAGAAGUACUUCAUUAAAUAGUUCAAUGUAAAAGUGGUUACUGUAGAUGAUCAUUUCGUAUCUUAUAACUGUAAAUGCUAAUCAGACUUAAGCAAUGAAACUCGGUGGCAAAACAAGGUCACUAAGUAUUUAUCUAGAUAAUCCAGAAUAGAAUUUUAGUUUUAGAUUCUCAACAAAAACAAAAUAUUUUAAAACUGUCAUAAAAAAACUUUAUGGAGUCACAAGAAUAUACCAACAGAUCCUCAUUACGGAAACACUGUAGUGUAUCAUACUUGUACACGUGCUUUAUUCUCUGCUAGACAGAUUGUCUUUGGAAAGGCUACAUUUUUGGGGUCUCUGUUUCUUCUCCAUGGAUUCUUCUGCAGAGUGGAAUGUUAUAUUGAGGACUGGAGGGCUAGUUAACUAAACAGAUAAAUACUGACCUUUUGAUGAAUUCAGAAGUAUAGGCUUUAAGUGGUGACUUACGUGUAUGUUCAGCCAAUUUACCACUGCAUUAAAAGCCCCUUCUUGAUAUUUUAUUCAUUUCAUCUCUGCUAGGUAGGAAACGUGUUAUGUGGCUUUGGUCAUGGUAUACUGGACAUCUCACCUGGCUGGCGUGUACUGAGUCAACCACAUUUUCUCUCGCAGGAUACAGAAAUUGUUGUUAGUCUCUGGUGGGUGCUUAAAAUGAAAGUUGUUCUCUGGCUCCCACAGGGCAUCUGAAUUCUGCUGGGAAAAGCAGAGAAAACUGUCUGCAGAGGGUAAUAGUAAUGCAGUAGUUACUGAAUAUAAGUAUGGAGAAAUUGCAAAGUAACAUUAUGACCUGGCUUUCUACUUUUUGAUAGAGUCCCUUAUGGGAAUAAAGUGGUCAUAACUUCUAUUGUUGUUUAAGGGAAUUUGAAGCAAUUUUUUGUUACAACCAAAUAAUCAAAUUCAGACACCUGGGUCAAAAUUGGAACUGGACUAUACCUGUCAAGAGAGUUGCUUGGAAUAGUGAGGAACACCUGUGGGCAGUGUAAAUUUUAGAGCAGGUGGUAUGCAUAGUGCUGCAUCUUCACGGAGGAAGCUAAUGGAGAGUGAGUGGGAAUGGUAGAUGGGUAAGAGAAAAGACCACUGAUUGGCUGAGUGGCCAUCAAAACACUUGGAGAAAUUGUCUAAUGAAAUUUUUACUCAGUCAUAGUAUACAGUCUGUACCCUCACUUUCCUUUUCCCAUGAAAUGCUUGGAAAAGUUAUAAUAUUUACUAAAUUUUGGAAUGUCUUAUAUUUUUUAAAAUAAUGAAUAUGCAGGACAAAUAAGUUAGAGGGUGAGGUUGAAGCCUGGUUUGACUAAAUGUAGCAAUGGGGCCCAGAGUUGGGUUUCAAAUAUCCUAGGCUGUUGCUUCAGUUUUCAUUUGAAGAAAGGGUUUUGCUGAUAACAUUUUUUUCAUGAAACCAGUAUAGAAAGAGCCUUGGAUGAGGAAUUAAAAGAUAUGGAUUAACAUCCACGAUGCCUCACCUCUUUGUUGCAUCUCAGGUUAUGUUACUGAUAGAAUAAUCCUGAAAAAUAUUAGAAGGUUUUUAUAAAGCCUGAAUAUUAUUUUUAAAAAGAUGAAAGCAGUUUGUAAACUGUAAAAGACUAAAGAGGGAAAUGAUGACAUUAUUUCAUUAUUACCUCAUUGUUUAUUUCAUCAUUACCUCUUAUUGUUUAAGAAGUAAAAGAUAACAUCAGCAGUUUAUUUCCAUUAGGGAUUCAAUCAAAAAGUAGAAAGCCAGGGCACAAUGUUACUUUGCAAUUUCUCUACAUUCAAAGACUAAAGAGGUAAAAGAUGACACUGUUUAGGCUUACAAUUUAGAUUUGAGCUGUUUUGUUUAUUUUUACAAUGCAUAUCUCAGUAACAUAGGAGGAAUUUAUAAGUUGUUGAAUGAGUGAAUCUAGGCUUCAAGGUCACAUAUAUGUUAUUACAUACAGUCUGCCCUCUGUAUCUGUGGGUUCUGCAUCUGUAGAUUUAACCAAGAUUGAAAAUACUUGGAAAAAAAGAACAGUAAAAAAUAACAAUACAAUAAUAAAGUAUAACAACUACUUACGUCGCAUUUAGAUUGUAUUAGGUAUUAUAAGUAAUAUAGAUGUAAUUUAAAGAGUACAGGAUACAAUAAAUUAGCCAGGUGUGGUGGUGUGUGCCUGUAAUCCCAGCUACUCGGGAGGCUGAGGCAGGAGAAUCGUGAACCCGGGAGGGGGAGGUUGCAGUGAGCCAAUUUGGUGUCAUUGCACUCCAGCCCAGGCAACAGUGCAAGACUCCAUCUCAAAAAAAAAAAAAAAAAAAAAAGUACACGAAACUGUGUGUAGGUUCUAUGCAAAUCCUAUGCCAUUUUAUACAAGGUACCUAGCAUCUGUGAGUUUUGGUAUCCAUAGGGGUCCUGGAACCAAUUCCCAGGAGAUACAGAGGGACAACUGGACAUAUAAAUAAGUCAAUCUCAAAGUAUUCAUUGACAAAGAGUAUACAAACUGUCCUUGUCUACUGUGGAACAAAGGACAGAAAAUAGCAACAGAAAUGACAUAGGUUAGAGUCACAUCUGAGAGUUCAAAUGAUACUUGACAGUAGAAUGGUAGCAGAGAAAGAAGGGAUAUCCCUUCUCUAGAAGAGAUUCUGUUCUCCUUGGAGCAAUUUAAGGCUAAUCUUGAUGCGCUUGAAAAUCUCUCAACAUGUUUUUUUCUAUCCCUUUAAUUUUAGGAUUGAAAGGAACCCAAAAUCUUCUUUACUGCUGGGAUAGACAUUGAUGUCUUCUGUAUGGGUUUAGGUAACUCUGAUGCAGUAGAAAGUGUCCAACAAACACAGUGCAGUAUAUGAGUAGUUUGGUUGGUUUCUCAGUGGGCUACUUUAAGUAAAUUUAUUGAAGCAUUUUUGAUGUAUAAUUCUAUAAGGCGUAAAACAAUUUAUGGGCCUUUUUACCUCCAAUGAAUCACCCUGAGGGCAUAUGGCAGGUUCAUCUGGGCCUUUUGAUGUAACAAAGGGAGAUUGUGACUUACUGCUCUUGUGACUAAUUUCAUGUAGGUUGCUUUUGUUUAUGGACAAACAUAAAUGAAUCACCACAUACAUUUCAAUGGCUUUACAGAAAUAUAUAAACAAUACAUUUCAGUUUCUGACUGUGACAGCUUCCAAAAUGAUGAUAACAUACAGACUGGAAGAUACGGCAACUCUACAACUUCCUUUCAUAGUCUUCCUGGCCAGAUGAUUCUUACUCUUAGAAUUUUACCUUUAGACUGGGCAAGGCAGACCCCUGUUCCAGGUCCUGCACUUUAUGAGGCCUCAUGUAUCACACAAAAACACAGAGAUUACAUUUGUUAAAUAACGUGAUAUUAUAUCACCUUGUACCUGUUAGACUAUUACAG
rnacentral:lncRNA from 1 species